UACGGAGGGUGCAAGCAUUAAUCGGAUUUAUUGGGCGUAAAGGGCGCGUAGGCGUCUAUGCAAAUCAGAUGUGAAAUUCCGGGGCUUAAUCUCGGAGCCGCAUUUGAGACUACAUAGAUGGAGGAUAGACGGAGAAAGUGGAAUUCCACGUGUAGCGGUGAAAUGCGUAGAUAUGUGGAAGAACACCGGUGGCGAAGGCGACUUUCUAGUUUAUACCUGACGCUGAGGCGCGAAAGCAAGGGGAG
rnacentral:rRNA from 1 species